rnacentral:rRNA from 1 species
GAUGAACGCUAGCUACAGGCUUAACACAUGCAAGUCGAGGGGCAGCAUGAGCUUAGCUUGCUAAGUUUGAUGGCGACCGGCGCACGGGUGAGUAACGCGUAUCCAACCUUCCGUUUACUCAGGGAUAGCCUUUCGAAAGAAAGAUUAAUACCUGAUGGUAUCUUAAUGACACAUGUAAUUAAGAUUAAAGAUUUAUCGGUAAACGAUGGGGAUGCGUUCCAUUAGGUAGUAGGCGGGGUAACGGCCCACCUAGCCAACGAUGGAUAGGGGUUCUGAGAGGAAGGUCCCCCACAUUGGAACUGAGACACGGUCCAAACUCCUACGGGAGGCAGCAGUGAGGAAUAUUGGUCAAUGGACGAGAGUCUGAACCAGCCAAGUAGCGUGAAGGAUGACUGCCCUAUGGGUUGUAAACUUCUUUUAUAUGGGAAUAAAGUAUUCCACGUGUGGGAUUUUGUAUGUACCAUAUGAAUAAGGAUCGGCUAACUCCGUGCCAGCAG